rnacentral:rRNA from 1 species
ACUCCUACGGGAGGCAGCAGUGGGGAAUAUUGCACAAUGGGGGAAACCCUGAUGCAGCCAUGCCGCGUGUGUGAAGAAGGCCUUGGGUUGUAAAGCACUUUCAGUAGGGAGGAAGGUAGUGUAGUUAACACCUGCAUUAUUUGUACGUUACCUACAGAAGAAGCACCGGCUAACUCCGUGCCAGCAGCCGCGGUAAGUACGGAGGGUGCGAGCGUUAAUCGGUAAUUACUGGGCGUAAAGCGCAUGCAGGCGGCCUGUUAAGUCAGAUGUGAAAGCCCGGGGUCUUAACCUCGGAAUUGCAUUUGAAACUGGCAGGCUAGAGUCUUGUAGAGGGGUUAGAAUUUCAGGUGUAG